rnacentral:rRNA from 1 species
UACGGGGGGGGUAAGCGUUGUUCGGAAUUACUGGGCGUAAAGGGCUCGUAGGCGGCCAACUAAGUCAGACGUGAAAUCCCUCAGCUUAACCGGGGAACUGCAUCUGAUACUGGAUGGCUUGAGUUCGGGAGAGGGAUGCGGAAUUCCAGGUGUAGCGGUGAAAUGCGUAGAUAUCUGGAGGAACACCGGUGGCGAAGGCGGCAUCCUGGACCGACACUGACGCUGAGGAGCGAAAGCCAGGGGAGCAAACGGG